rnacentral:rRNA from 1 species
CGGGGGGGGUAAGCGUUGUUCGGAAUUACUGGGCGUAAAGGGCUCGUAGGCGGCCAACUAAGUCAUACGUGAAAUCCCUCAGCUUAACUGGGGAACUGCGUCUGAUACUGGAUGGCUUGGAUUCGGGAGAGGAAUGCGGAAUUCCAGGUGUAGCGGUGAAAUGCGUAGAUAUCUGGAGGAACACCGGUGGCGAAGGCGGCAUUCUGGACCGACAUUGACGCUGAGGAGCGAAAGCCAGGGGAGCAAACGGGAUUAGAUACCCCGAUAGUCCUGGCCCUAAACGAUGAAUGCUUGGUGUGGCGGGUAUCGAUCCCUGCCGUGCCGAAGCUAACGCAUUAAGCAUUCCGCCUGGGGAGUACGGUCGCAAGGCGG